rnacentral:rRNA from 1 species
AGUGAACGCUGGCGGUAGGCCUAACACAUGCAAGUCGAACGGCAGCACAGUAAGAGCUUGCUCUUACGGGUGGCGAGUGGCGGACGGGUGAGGAAUACAUCGGAAUCUACUUUUUCGUGGGGGAUAACGUAGGGAAACUUACGCUAAUACCGCAUACGACCUACGGGUGAAAGCAGGGGAUCUUCGGACCUUGCGCGAUUGAAUGAGCCGAUGUCGGAUUAGCUAGUUGGCGGGGUAAAGGCCCACCAAGGCGACGAUCCGUAGCUGGUCUGAGAGGAUGAUCAGCCACACUGGAACUGGGACACGGUCCAGACUCCUACGGGAGGCAGCAGUGGGGAAUAUUGGACAAUGGGCGCAAGCCUGAUCCAGCCAUACCGCGUGGGUGAAGAAGGCCUUCGGGUUGAAAAGCCCUUUUGUUGGGAAAGAAAAGCAGCAGGUUAAUACCCCGCUGUUCUGACGGUACCCAAAGAAUAAGCACCGGCUAACUUCGUG